UACGUAGGGUCCGAGCGUUGUCCGGAAUUAUUGGGCGUAAAGAGCUCGUAGGCGGUUUGUCGCGUCUGCUGUGAAAUCCCGAGGCUCAACCUCGGGCCUGCAGUGGGUACGGGCAGACUUGAGUGGUGUAGGGGAGACUGGAAUUCCUGGUGUAGCGGUGGAAUGCGCAGAUAUCAGGAGGAACACCGAUGGCGAAGGCAGGUCUCUGGGCACUUACCGACGCUGAGGAGCGAAAGCGUGGGGAGCGAACAGG
rnacentral:rRNA from 1 species